CCAGACUCCUACGGGAGGCAGCAGUGGGGGAUAUUGCACAAUGGGGGAAACCCUGAUGCAGCGACGCCGCGUGAGUGAAGAAGUAAUUCGUUACGUAAAGCUCUAUCAGCAGGGAAGAAAAUGACGGUACCUGACUAAGAAGCCCCGGCUAACUACGUGCCAGUAGCCGCGGUAAUACGUAGGGGGCAAGCGUUAUCCGGAAUUACUGGGUGUAAAGGGAGCGUAGACGGCUGGUCAAGUCUGAAGUGAAAGCCCGGGGCUUAACCCCGGAACGGCUUUGGAAACUGAGCAGCUAGAGUGCUGGAGAGGUAAGCGGAAUUCCUGGUGUAGCGGUGAAAUGCGUAGAUAUCAGGAGGAACACCGGCGGCGAAGGCGGCCUGCUGGACCGUGACUGACGUUGAGGCUCGAGAGCGUGGGGAGCAAACAGGAUUAGAUACCCCAGUAC
rnacentral:rRNA from 1 species